rnacentral:rRNA from 1 species
AUUGAACGCUGGCGGCAUGCUUUACUCAUGCAAGUCGAACGGUAACAGGGCGCUUGCUCCGCUGACGAGUGGCGAACGGGUGAGUAAUGCGUCGGAAAGUGCCGAGUAGUGGGGGAUAACGCAUCGAAAGGUGUGCUAAUACCGCAUACGAACUGAGGGUGAAAGUGGGGGACCUUCGGGCCUUCCGCUAUUCGAGCGGCCGACGUCUGAUUAGCUAGUUGGUGAGGUAAAGGCUCACCAAGGCGACGAUCAGGAGCGGGUCUGAGAGGAUGAUCCGCCACACUGGGACUGAGACACGGCCCAGACUCCUACGGGAGGCAGCAGUGGGGAAUUUUGGACAAUGGGCGCAAGCCUGAUCCAGCCAUGCCGCGUGUCUGAAGAAGGCCUUCGGGUUGUAAAGGACUUUUGUCCGGGAGCAAAUGCUGGUGGCUAACAUCCACCGGAGCUGAGAGUACCGGAAGAAUAAGCACCGGCUAACUACGUGCCAGCCGCCGCCGUAACAC